CAUUAAAGAGUUCUAUAACUCCCAAACCCAUGUGAACAUACCUAACGUUGCCUCGGCAGGUCGCACCUACCUUGUAGCACCCUACCCUGUAGGGCCUACCCGGGAGGUGCGGGUAAGCCUGCCGGCGGCCCACCAAACUCUGUUUGAUAUUGAAUUCUGAACCUAUAACUAAAUAAGUUAAAACUUUCAACAACGGAUCUCUUGGUUCUGGCAUCGAUGAAGAACGCAGCGAAAUGCGAUAAGUAAUGUGAAUUGCAGAAUUCAGUGAAUCAUCGAAUCUUUGAACGCAUAUUGCGCCCAUUAGUAUUCUAGUGGGCAGGACCGUUCGAGCGUCAUUUCAACCCUUAAGCCUUCGUUGCUUAGUGUUGGGAGCCUACGGCAACGUAGCUCCUCAAAGUUAGUGGCGGAGUUGGUUCACACUCUAGACGUAGUAAUUUUUUAUCUCGCCUAUUAGUUGGACUAAUCCCCUGCCGUAAAACCCCCAAUUUAUCAAGGUUGACCUCGAAUCGGUUCAGACAAACUCGCUAAAUUGAAGCAUCUUAGUCAGCGAAGGAAAAGAAACCAACAGGGAUUGCCCUAGUAACGGCGAGUGAAGCGGCAACAGCUCAAAUUUGAAAUCUGGCCCUCGGGUCCGAGUUGUAAUUUGUAGAGGAUGCUUUUGGCGCGGUGCCUUCCGAGUUCCCUGGAACGGGACGCCUUAGAGGGUGAGAGCCCCGUACGGUUGGACACCAAGCCUCUGUAAAGCUCCUUCGACGAGUCGAGUAGCUUGGGAAUGCUGCUCUAAAUGGGAGGUAAAUUUCUUCUAAAGCUAAAUAUUGGCCAGAGACCGAUAGCGCACAAGUAGAGUGAUCGAAAGA
rnacentral:rRNA from 1 species